rnacentral:rRNA from 1 species
UACGAAGGGGGCUAGCGUUAAUCGGAAUUACUGGGCGUAAAGCGUGCGCAGGCGGUGAUGUAAGACAGAUGUGAAAUCCCCGGGCUCAACCUGGGAACUGCAUUUGUGACUGCAUCGCUGGAGUGCGGCAGAGGGGGGAUGGAAUUCCGCGUGUAGCAGUGAAAUGCGUAGAUAUGCGGAGGAACACCGAUGGCGAAGGCAAUCCCCUGGGCCUGCACUGACGCUCAUGCACGAAAGCGUGGGGAGCAAACAGG